GACGAACGCUGGCGGCGUGCCUAAUACAUGCAAGUUGAGCGCUGAAGGUUGGUACUUGUACCGACUGGAUGAGCAGCGAACGGGUGAGUAACGCGUGGGGAAUCUGCCUUUGAGCGGGGGACAACAUUUGGAAACGAAUGCUAAUACCGCAUAAAAACUUUAAACACAAGUUUUAAGUUUGAAAGAUGCAAUUGCAUCACUCAAAGAUGAUCCCGCGUUGUAUUAGCUAGUUGGUGAGGUAAAGGCUCACCAAGGCGAUGAUACAUAGCCGACCUGAGGGGGUGAUCGGCCACAUUGGGACUGAGACACGGCCCAAACUCCUACGGGAGGCAGCAGUAGGGAAUCUUCGGCAAUGGACGAAAGUCUGACCGAGCAACGCCGCGGGAGUGAAGAAGGUUGUCGGAUCGUAAAACUCUGUUGGUAGAGAAGAACGUUGGUGAGAGUGGAAAGCUCAUCAAGUGACGGUAACUACCCAGAAAGGGACGGCUAACUACGUG
rnacentral:rRNA from 1 species